GACGAACGCUGGCGGCGUGCUUAACACAUGCAAGUCGAACGAUGAAGCUGGAGCUUGCUCCGGUGGAUUAGUGGCGAACGGGUGAGUAACACGUGAGUAAUCUGCCCUUGACUCUGGGAUAACUGCGGGAAACUGUAGCUAAUACCGGAUACGACACCUUCGGGCAUCCGAUGGGUGUGGAAAGAAUUUCGGUCAAGGAUGAACUCGCGGCCUAUCAGCUAGUUGGUGAGGUAAUGGCUCACCAAGGCGACGACGGGUAGCCGGCCUGAAAGGGGGACCGGCCACACUGGGACUGGGACACGGCCCGGACUCCUACGGGAGGCAGCAGUGAGGAAUAUUGCACAAUGGGCGAAAGCCUGAUGCAGCAACGCCGCGUGAGGGAUGAAGGCCUUCGGGUUGUAAACCUCUUUUAGUUGGGAAGAAGCGAAAGUGACGGUACCAACAGAAAAAGCACCGGCUAACUACGUGCCAGCCGCCGCAGUAA
rnacentral:rRNA from 1 species